rnacentral:rRNA from 1 species
UCCCAUUCCGAACACGGAAGUUAAGCUCUUUAGCGCCGAUGGUAGUUGGGGGUCUCCCCCUGUGAGAGUAGGACGUUGCCAAGC